CCGCAACGAGCGCAACCCUCGCCAUUAGUUGCCAUCAUUCAGUUGGGCACUCUAGUGGGACUGCCGGUGAUAAGCCGGAGGAAGGUGGGGAUGACGUCAAGUCAUCAUGGCCCUUAUGGGCUGGGCUACACACGUGCUACAAUGGCGGUGACAAUGCGCAGCCACCUAGCAGUAGGGAGCUAAUCGCAAAAAGCCGUCUCAGUUCGGAUUGGGGUCUGCAACUCGACCCCAUGAAGUCGGAAUCGCUAGUAAUCGCGCAUCAGCACGGCGCGGUGAAUACGUUCCCGGGCCUUGUACACACCGCCCGUCACACCAUGGGAGUUGGCUUUACCCGAAGACGGUGCGCUAACCAGCAAUGGAGGCAGCCGGCCACGGUAAGGUCAGCGACUGGGGUGAAGUCGUAACAAGGUAGCCG
rnacentral:rRNA from 1 species